rnacentral:rRNA from 1 species
UUGAAGAGUUUGAUCAUGGCUCAGAUUGAACGCUGGCGGCAGGCCUAACACAUGCAAGUCGAACGGUAACAGGAAGAAGCUUGCUUCUUUGCUGACGAGUGGCGGACGGGUGAGUAAUGUCUGGGAAACUGCCUGAUGGAGGGGGAUAACUACUGGAAACGGUAGCUAAUACCGCAUAACGUCGCAAGACCAAAGAGGGGGACCUUCGGGCCUCUUGCCAUCGGAUGUGCCCAGAUGGGAUUAGCUUGUUGGUGGGGUAACGGCUCACCAAGGCGACGAUCCCUAGCUGGUCUGAGAGGAUGACCAGCCACACUGGAACUGAGACACGGUCCAGACUCCUACGGGAGGCAGCAGUGGGGAAUAUUGCACAAUGGGCGCAAGCCUGAUGCAGCCAUGCCGCGUGUAUGAAGAAGGCCUUCGGGUUGUAAAGUACUUUCAGCGGGGAGGAAGGGAGUAAAGUUAAUACCUUUGCUCAUUGACGUUACCCGCAGAAGAAGCACCGGCUAACUCCGUGCCAGCAGCCGCGGUAAUACGGAGGGUGCAAGCGUUAAUCGGAAUUACUGGGCGUAAAGCGCACGCAGGCGGUUUGUUAAGUCAGAUGUGAAAUCCCCGGGCUCAACCUGGGAACUGCAUCUGAUACUGGCAAGCUUGAGUCUCGUAGAGGGGGUAGAAUUCCGGUGUAGCGGUGAAAUGCGUAGAGAUCUGGAGGAAUACCGGUGGCGAAGGCGGCCCCUGGACGAAGACUGACGCUCAGGUGCGAAAGCGUGGGGAGCAAACAGGAUUAGAUACCCUGGUAGUCCACGCCGUAAACGAUGUCGACUUGGAGGUUGUGCCCUUGAGGCGUGGCUUCCGGAGCUAACGCGUUAAGUCGACCGCCUGGGGAGUACGGCCGCAAGGUUAAAACUCAAAUGAAUUGACGGGGCCCGCACAAGCGGUGGAGCAUGUGGUUUAAUUCGAUGCAACGCGAAGAACCUUACCUGGUCUUGACAUCCACGGAAGUUUUCAGAGAUGAGAAUGUGCCUUCGGGAACCGUGAGACAGGUGCUGCAUGGCUGUCGUCAGCUCGUGUUGUGAAAUGUUGGGUUAAGUCCCGCAACGAGCGCAACCCUUAUCCUUUGUUGCCAGCGGUCCGGCCGGGAACUCAAAGGAGACUGCCAGUGAUAAACUGGAGGAAGGUGGGGAUGACGUCAAGUCAUCAUGGCCCUUACGACCAGGGCUACACACGUGCUACAAUGGCGCAUACAAAGAGAAGCGACCUCGCGAGAGCAAGCGGACCUCAUAAAGUGCGUCGUAGUCCGGAUUGGAGUCUGCAACUCGACUCCAUGAAGUCGGAAUCGCUAGUAAUCGUGGAUCAGAAUGCCACGGUGAAUACGUUCCCGGGCCUUGUACACACCGCCCGUCACACCAUGGGAGUGGGUUGCAAAAGAAGUAGGUAGCUUAACCUUCGGGAGGGCGCUUACCACUUUGUGAUUCAUGACUGGGGUGAAGUCGUAACAAGGUAACCGUAGGGGAACCUGCGGUUGGAUCACCUCCUU